AGCGAACGGACGAGAAGCUUGCUUCUCUGAUGUUAGCGGCGGACGGGUGAGUAACACGUGGAUAACCUACCUAUAAGACUGGGAUAACUUCGGGAAACCGGAGCUAAUACCGGAUAAUAUUUUGAACCGCAUGGUUCAAAAGUGAAAGACGGUCUUGCUGUCACUUAUAGAUGGAUCCGCGCUGCAUUAGCUAGUUGGUAAGGUAACGGCUUACCAAGGCAACGAUGCAUAGCCGACCUGAGAGGGUGAUCGGCCACACUGGAACUGAGACACGGUCCAGACUCCUACGGGAGGCAGCAGUAGGGAAUCUUCCGCAAUGGGCGAAAGCCUGACGGAGCAACGCCGCGUGAGUGAUGAAGGUCUUCGGAUCGUAAAACUCUGUUAUUAGGGAAGAACAUAUGUGUAAGUAACUGUGCACAUCUUGACGGUACCUAAUCAGAAAGCCACGGCUAACUACGUGCCAGCAGCCGCGGUAAUACGUAGGUGGCAAGCGUUAUCCGGAAUUAUUGGGCGUAAAGCGCGCGUAGGCGGUUUUUUAAGUCUGAUGUGAAAGCCCACGGCUCAACCGUGGAGGGUCAUUGGAAACUGGAAAACUUGAGUGCAGAAGAGGAAAGUGGAAUUCCAUGUGUAGCGGUGAAAUGCGCAGAGAUAUGGAGGAACACCAGUGGCGAAGGCGACUUUCUGGUCUGUAACUGACGCUGAUGUGCGAAAGCGUGGGGAUCAAACAGGAUUAGAUACCCUGGUAGUCCACGCCGUAAACGAUGAGUGCUAAGUGUUAGGGGGUUUCCGCCCCUUAGUGCUGCAGCUAACGCAUUAAGCACUCCGCCUGGGGAGUACGACCGCAAGGUUGAAACUCAAAGGAAUUGACGGGGACCCGCACAAGCGGUGGAGCAUGUGGUUUAAUUCGAAGCAACGCGAAGAACCUUACCAAAUCUUGACAUCCUUUGACAACUCUAGAGAUAGAGCCUUCCCCUUCGGGGGACAAAGUGACAGGUGGUGCAUGGUUGUCGUCAGCUCGUGUCGUGAGAUGUUGGGUUAAGUCCCGCAACGAGCGCAACCCUUAAGCUUAGUUGCCAUCAUUAAGUUGGGCACUCUAAGUUGACUGCCGGUGACAAACCGGAGGAAGGUGGGGAUGACGUCAAAUCAUCAUGCCCCUUAUGAUUUGGGCUACACACGUGCUACAAUGGACAAUACAAAGGGCAGCGAAACCGCGAGGUCAAGCAAAUCCCAUAAAGUUGUUCUCAGUUCGGAUUGUAGUCUGCAACUCGACUACAUGAAGCUGGAAUCGCUAGUAAUCGUAGAUCAGCAUGCUACGGUGAAUACGUUCCCGGGUCUUGUACACACCGCCCGUCACACCACGAGAGUUUGUAACACCCGAAGCCGGUGGAGUAACCUUUUAGGAG
rnacentral:rRNA from 1 species